rnacentral:rRNA from 1 species
UACAGAGGGUGCGAGCGUUAAUCGGAAUUACUGGGCGUAAAGCGCGCGUAGGCGGCUUUGCAAGUCGGGUGUGAAAUCCCCAGGCUUAACCUGGGAACUGCAUUCGAGACUGCAUUGCUAGAGUAUGGGAGAGGGAAGUGGAAUUCCGGUGUAGCGGUGAAAUGCGUAGAUAUCGGAAGGAACAUCAGUGGCGAAGGCGGCCCUCUGGUCCAGUACUGACACUCAAGUGCGAAAAGCGUGGGGGAGGCAAACAGGAUAGAA